UACGUAGGGGGCGAGCGUUGUCCGAAGUUACUGGGCGUAAAGCGCGCGUAGGCGGUUUCUUAAGUCUGGGGUGAAAGGUUCAGCGCUCAACGCGAACAGUGCCUUGGAUACUGGGAGACUUGAGUCUGGGAGGGGGCAGUGGAAUUCCUGGUGUAGCGGUGAAAUGCGCAGAUAUCAGGAGGAACACCGGUGGCGAAGGCGGGUCUCUGGGCCGAUACUGACGCUGAGGAGCGAAAGCGUGGGGAGCGAACAGG
rnacentral:rRNA from 1 species